rnacentral:rRNA from 1 species
UACAGAGGUCCCCAAGCGUUGUUCGGAUUCAUUGGGCGUAAAGGGUGCGUAGGCGGCGCGGUAAGUCGGGUGUGAGAUCUCGGGGCUUAACUCCGAAACUGCAUUCGAUACUGCCGUGCUUGAGGACUGGAGAGGAGACUGGAAUUUACGGUGUAGCGAUGAAAUGCGUAGAUAUCGUAAGGAAGACCAGUGGCGAAGGCGGGUCUCUGGACAGUUCCUGACGCUGAGGCACGAAGGCCAGGGGAGCAAACGGG